rnacentral:rRNA from 1 species
AAAUUGAAGAGUUUGAUCAUGGCUCAGAUUGAACGCUGGCGGCAGGCCUAACACAUGCAAGUCGAACGGUAACAGGAAGCAGCUUGCUGCUUCGCUGACGAGUGGCGGACGGGUGAGUAAUGUCUGGGAAACUGCCUGAUGGAGGGGGAUAACUACUGGAAACGGUAGCUAAUACCGCAUAACGUCGCAAGACCAAAGAGGGGGACCUUCGGGCCUCUUGCCAUCGGAUG